rnacentral:rRNA from 1 species
AACGCGAAGAACCUUACCUGGGCUCGAACGGCUUAAGAACAACGGUGGAAACACUGUCUUCCCGCAAGGGACUUGAGUCGAGGUGCUGCAUGGCUGUCGUCAGCUCGUGUCGUGAGAUGUUGGGUUAAGUCCCGCAACGAGCGCAACCCUCGUCCUGUGUUGCUAAUCGAAAGAUGCACUCUCAGGAGACCGCCAGCGAUAAGUUGGAGGAAGGUGGGGAUGACGUCAAGUCAUCAUGGCCUUUAUGUCCAGGGCUACACACGUGCUACAAUGGGCGGUACAAUGCGCUGCGAACCCGCGAGGGGAAGCUAAUCGCAAAAAACCGUCCUCAGUUCGGAUUGCAGGCUGCAACCCGCCUGCAUGAAGCUGGAAUCGCUAGUAAUGGCAUAUCAGAACGAUGCCGUGAAUACGUUCCCGGGCCUUGUACACACCGGAGUA